rnacentral:rRNA from 1 species
GACGAACGCUGGCGGCGUGCUUAACACAUGCAAGUCGAACGGAAAGGCCCUGCUUUUGUGGGGUGCUCGAGUGGCGAACGGGUGAGUAACACGUGAGUAACCUGCCCUUGACUUUGGGAUAACUUCAGGAAACUGGGGCUAAUAACGGAUAGGAGCUCUUGCUGCAUGGUGGGGGUUGGAAAGUUUAGGCGGUUGGGGGUGGACUCGGGCGUUAUCAGCUAGUUGGUGGGGUAAUGGCUUACCAAGGCUUUGACGGGUAGCCGGACUGUGAGGGUGGUCGGCCACCCUGGAACUGGGCCACGGACCAGACUCCUACGGGAGGCAGCAGUAGGGAAUGUUCCGCAAUGGGCGAAAGCCUGACGGAGCAACGCCGCGUGAGUGAUGAAGGUCUUCGGAUCGUAAAACUCUGUUAUUAGGGAAGAACAAAUGUGUAAGUAAAUAUGCACGUCUUGACGGUAACUAAUCAGAAAGCCACGGCUAACUACGUG